UAGGCUACGGAUGCUGGAAUGCUCUGUAGCUCAAAGAAUUUAUCGCCACAGGAUGGAUCUGCGGCCGAUUAGGUAGUUGUUGGGGUAACGGCCCAACAAGCCUUUGAUCGGUACGGGUUGUGGGAGCAAGAGCCCGGAGAUGGAUUCUGAGACACGAAUCCAGGCCCUACGGGGCGCAGCAGGCGCGAAAACUUUACAAUGCGGGAAACCGUGAUAAGGGAACUCCGAGUGUCCGUAAAUGCGGACUGUCCGUAUGUCUAAAAAGCAUGCGAAGAAAGGGCCGGGCAAGACCGGUGCCAGCCGCCGCGGUAAUACCGGCGGCUCGAGUGGUGGCCACUAUUACUGGGCUUAAAGCGUUCGUAGCUGGGUUGUUAAGUCUCUUGGGAAAUCUACCGGCUUAACCGAUAGGCGUCCAAGGGAUACUGGCAAUCUAGGGACCGGGAGAGGUGAGGGGUACUUCAGGGGUAGGAGUGAAAUCCUGUAAUCCUUGGGGGACCACCUGUGGCGAAGGCGCCUCACCAGAACGGCUCCGACAGUGAGGGACGAAAGCUGGGGGAGCAAACCGGAUUAGAUACCCGGGUAGUCCCAGCCGUAAACGAUGCGCGUUAGGUGUAUCGAUGACCACGAGUCAUCGAGGUGCCGAAGGGAAACCGUGAAACGCGCCGCCUGGGAAGUACGGUCG
rnacentral:rRNA from 1 species